rnacentral:tRNA from 1 species
GGCGGGCUAGCGUAAUGGUUAACGCGCCAGUUUCCGGUCCCUUCUGAUCUUGUCAGAACGCGUUAGCUGGAGAUUCUGGGUUCGAGUCCCAGGUUCGUCG